UCUUUUUUUUUUUUUUUUCAUUAGCAAUGAACUAGGUGGUUCAAUAGAAGAAAAAAGGUAUGACAAAAAAUAAAAUUAGCAUUUAUUUUGAAUUCAAUUGACCUUGGUUCCAUUUUAAAUCGUGAGAUUGAUCGUGUCAAUCAAAUUGUCAUUGUCAUAACUACAAUUUAAGGUGGUUAAAAGGUUACAUAAGUAAUCGUGACCACAAUUCCUGCCUACUUCCCGCCGAAUCCGGAAUUGAACGAUAUCAAUUUGUGAAGCAUAUAGUACCACAACAAAUCAUGUAGGAUAUGGGUCCCGAAAUUAGAACGUUUCAAUAGGGGUUCGCGUUGUUAUUUUUUUCCUUAUUAAUUUUUCCCAAGGAGGCAGGCCGCACCCAAUUCAAUCCCAUAGUAUUAAAUAGAACAAAAAUUCUUAUCUCAAAACUGGAUCCCGAAAAUUUGUGUACCUUGAAGUCGGAUCACUUUUGUCUUGGAGUAUUUUGUAGUAUUUCAUCCACAACAGACAGGUGUUUCGGUCCAGAAUCCAUCAAAAGCGUCCCCAAAACCCCCAUUUCAAACGUUCUUUUUGUUAAAUGCCAUUUUCUAUUUGCAUUGAUUCGUUAAACAAUAUUUUCAGAAAACCACUUUCACCGUUUUAAUACUUAAGUACCGUUGCAAAUACUUUACUUUGGAAAACGAAACCCCAAGUAGACAGUUGACGUUUUGCAUAAAUGAUCCGGUCCAAAUAGUUGGAAAGCGUAGUAAACCGGGAAUUUCAUUUAUCAUUAUUAUGUCUUUUGGAGUGCUGAUCUUAAGCAGCCUUGCUUUAAAAGCUAUAGCUUUGGUUUUCAUUUUGGAAGAUGCCAUUUUGUGUAAUGAGGUCAAGUGAUUCUUUUGACAGGUUAUCAUUUGACAAUCAGUUUGGUUUGAAUUCACUUUAUUUUCUAAUGGGUUAUGCAGUAGAUUUGUAAUGGUUAAUACAGUAGAUUUGUGAUAUUAUAGAAUAAUCCAGCUAUUCAGUUGACAUACUUUUUUCUUUACCACCGUAAUGCCUUUACAUUUUUUUUUUUUUUUAUAACCUCAAGGUCUAACAUUUUUUAAUUGAUUCAGUCUGUCUUUGAAGAGGUCACCAAAUUUGGAAAAGUCCAAAUUAUCAUUAUGGUGGAAUCCUUGACUGGCAUGACUAUAGUCGAUAAGGGCGGUCAACGUGUUCAGGUGAACUGUGGGGCAACCGAGAAUGAUCCAACGGCGGAUAAGACGACGGUAACUUGUCGUAGAUUUCUCCUGUUUCGUAAGUGCUAGGAUAUAAGGAUGCAGAAGGGUGGUAACUUGGAGGAGUCUUUGGAGGAGUGUAAGGCGUUUGUGGAUGAACGGGGAAAUGACUGGCCGCUUCUUGGUUGUAAUUCGGAGUUGGUUUGUAUUUUAGUUUCAAUGGUUCAUAUUCCUCGAUUAGUUGCUGGUAAUUGUAAUAUCCAUCACGUUCUUUUAACUGAUUCCUUGGCUCACUUGAUUUUCCUGGUGCGAGUCUAUGGACUGUCGUACUGGUUUUCGUUUUUAUUUGACGGUUAUCAAGUCCAACAACUGCCGUGGCUAAAAGAGCAAGAAGGAUUGAAUCCAGAAACUGCGUAAUACGUUAUUAUACAAAAAUUUAUUCAUUAAUUGUUUUCUUAAGUUUCUCAAAGCUUUUACUAAACACUACUUACUCCGAGGACUUCGCGUUUCAUGCUGUUCAAAUAUUUUGAUUAUCUACGCGUUGCAGUACUUCCACGCAGGAGCUGUGUUCGAAGGCGACUUUGAUUGAUCAGCAGCAGACUGACAGGAUUUAUAUUCGGUCUAGGUAGGUGCCUCUUUCUCAAAACAGUCAUUGCACUAAUAGAACAUUUUCUCUGGCACGUGUUUCUUGCAUUCGCGCGGUGGGUCGGCCUUUGUUUUCCUGGUUCCGCAAGGCUUCUCAGGUGGUUUCAGCUUUGAUAGUCCUUUCUAUUUAUUUAUUUUUUUUUUAACUCUGCUGCAAGAAUCAAGCUUCCUUUUCAUGAUGGCUACGCUGGUCAGUCAUCCUGUCAAAAGAAUAUGGAAUAGUGAUUGAAAAUUCCAUAAUUCAAUAGAAUUUUUAAAGAAAAUUAAUGCAGAAUAUCCCGAAUGACAAGAAAUUGUGCCGCAAGCCGUUAACCACGAAUUUGAGAAAUCGAGAUUUCUAACACUCGACAGAAGCGUUCUAAGUAAUUCAGGUUUCGAUCGGGAAAAGUCAUACGGAACUAUGUCAGCAUGGGCGGAGAAAUUUUCGAGAAUAUGUCGUUAAUUCAUAAUGGCCAUUCAUUACAUUUCUGCAGUAAUAACAGGUUGCAUUUCGCCCAAGACAGCACCAAUAACUAAGAAAGUAUGUUUGAUUCGAAAACCAUACGCAACAUGUUAAUUCGAAAGAAUUUGCAAAAAGUAAGCAACUGGAAGCAGUUUUCUCUAUACAAGUCCCGGAUUUCACUCGCCUAUUGAAAGCAACGAUGGAAAGGAGAUUGACCUGAAACGUUAUCCGAGUUCUUUUUCCGGGCAUCCCGACCUGUUUGUUUGAAUGCGGAAACUUUAUUCCAUGAGCAAGGUGUAUCGUCUUUGACAUUUCAUAUUUAUUACUACUAGACCUUUCUCAAAAUUGUGAUCUCGUUUUCAGUGUGCUUUGCCAUCGAUUCCAGUUUCUCAAGUACUAUUGACCAAGGUAAGGUUUGAAUCGUAGGAUUCGUCCGUGUCUAUAUUAACCGAAGCGCUGAAGCUUAGCUUGGGAACGAGAUCAAAAGAAAGGAAGCAUUUAUCUUCUUUUAAAACAAUCGUCUACCCAGCUGCAGGCAACCGUGUAUCUUCUACAUUCAUAGCGAGGUUAUUAUCAGAAACAUGUAAAGGCCAACACCCAGUAAUAACACAUUGAGAAAGCCUUCAAUUUGCGGAAAAAAAUUGGAAGUCAUGCAGGUAAUUGGACGGAGAUAGCGCGCGUGCAUGUAGAUCCAAAGCAUUCUAACAUCCAGGCCAUUUAUCUUGCGCAGUUUGUCAUCUGUAAUCCAUAUACUAUUACAGUACAUGUAACCCGUUAAGUAUGUAUCCCGCACAAUUAGAAGACUUUUUUUUUCCUUUUUUUUUUGUCUUUUUUUCUUUUUUGGACAGUUUUUAUUAAUAUUUCUUCGAGUCGGCUUCUAUCGUCGAUAGGAUCUUCGUGACCGAAGAUCAGACACACAGCAGGAACCAGGAAGAUUUGGAAACAGUAUACAAAAAACUUACGGACUUCCAAUAUACUAAAAUCACCUUCGCAAGUAUUGAGUACAAUUUGGAAUAAGAUCGUCUUUGCCAUGAAAUUAAAGUGCGGAUUAAGCGCUUCAUUCUUUUCCCCUACAUAAAGCGACAGAAAAGAUUCAUCGUAGCUGUAGUCGAACAAUUUGAUAAUAGCACUAAGACACGCGCGUACGCAAUACUGAACCUUUCUUAUGUAAAUGUUCUAUAACUCGUGCUUUUUUAUUAUGUUAUGGAGCCGCCAAUUGAUUUUCUAGUGUUACGUUUCCUUUAACUUGAUCUCCUCUUGUAUCUUCAUUUUUAAAUCGACGAAACAAAAGGAAUAGAAAACCGUCUGGUGAGUAGGUGCGACUCAGGUGCGUCUAUUUAAAUACAGAAACAGCAGGUAAAAAAAAUGAGAAGUAUAAUUUUAAAUAAAAAUGUGUAUUAUCUUUUUAUUUUAAAACUACCGUUUAAUGUUUGUCGGAUACAUGUGUAAGGAACUCCUGUUGACAUCGUUGUUAAAUUUUGAAUCCAAAUAAUGUAUUUUUUAAAAAGAAAUAUCUAGGUUUUUGAAUAAAUAACUUGGUCUGUUCUAACCUUCUAGAUUCGCCUUUAUUUUGGUUGUAAACAAAAAAACUAGAUGUCGCUGGUGCUCUUCCCUAAUUGUUUUUUUGUGAUUUCGUGUGACUGUGGUGUGAGUAGUGAAACCUGUGUUAGAAAGUUUUGUUAAAUAUAUUAUCCAAUGGAAAGUUUUAUAAAACUAACUACAAUCAAGUGUUUUAUUCCCUGUGUAGUUUUUGGAAGUGAAGCACACAGAAUAGUAAAUGUUUUAUGUGACGGGUAAUCUUGUAAGCUAUGCAAGCUGCCAACAAUCCAAACAGUCACAGAUUACCCUGUGAACAUUUACCCUGUCAUUGAGAAAUCUAGCUCAUGAAACUUACAACACAAAGGAUUCUAACCUGGAGGAAGGUCAACAACGAUGUGAAUUCUCAGAAUCAAAACACUACGGUCUCAUUCUACUACCCUUUGCCUAGUCAUCAGAUUCAGAUUUAAUCAGAAAAGUGCAUCGUGUUCCUCUGUUUUGUUGCCAAUGAAUAACCAUCACCAACCAACACACAUAGACAUGGAUGUCAAAAACAAUCCCUUUUGGACUGCCAAUUCUUUGCCUUCUUCAGCAAAAUUGCCGACCAAACAAUUUUUGCAGUCUUCGGACAACAGGGAACUAUGCCAUCUUCUUCUUCUGUCCCACGCAAAAUUGAAAAUCAAGAUUAUAAGUUUGGCCCGUUCUUCGCUUCAUCAUCCGUCUUCGCCUCGUGUUCGCCCGGUUUUUGCCCGUCACCCCAUCUUCGUCUCGCCCGUCGCCCCGUCUUCUUCCCGCCCGUCGCCCCGUCUUCGUCUCGCCCGUCGCCCCGUCUUCGCCUCGCCCGUCGCCCCGUCUUCGCCUCGCCCAUCGCCCCGUCGUCGCCUCGUGGUCGCCCCGUCAUUGCCGUUAUCUUCAUGGUAUCGUUGUAUUUUGUAAUGUGUAGUGUUAAUUAACCCGUUGGCUGCCACCCACUUUGAUCCCCUUUUUUUUUUAGCUUGUUAGGGUCCGGCAGCACUGUUCUGCCCAAUGGUCUAUAUGCCAUGGGUGGGACAGUUGCACAAGCCGUGUGGCGCAACGUCGAUCGUCGAGGCAAUACACCAGUAGGGACUCCCUCUUGUCGAUGCGGUGAUGGUUGCCUGGGGUGUGUAUUCCCAUAACGGCUUCCAUCAUCGUGUCAGCCCGGACUUUUCAAGUCCCCCUUGGUCGCGAUCCAUUUGAUCGCGAUGUAGCUAGCGUAGUUUAAAUGUGACGUGGCAGCCAACGGGUUAGUUGUAUGUAUUUUUGUUUGUAUUGUAUGUUAUGUAUUGUAUUUUGAAAUGUAUAAAAUAGUGGUGGAUUUGUGGGUGGAUGGUGGGACAAUAAAAUGCAUUUUAUUUA